rnacentral:rRNA from 1 species
GUGGGGAAUCUUCCGCAAUGGACGAAAGUCUGACGGAGCAACGCCGCGUGAGUGAAGAAGGUUUUCGGAUCGUAAAGCUCUUUCGUUAGGGACGAACGUGCUCUUUGUGAAUAAUGAGGAGUAAUGACGGUACCUAAAUAAGAAGCCACGGCUAACUACGUGCCAGCAGCCGCGGUAAUACGUAGGUGGCAAGCGUUGUCCGGAAUUAUUGGGCGUAAAGCGCGCGCAGGCGGGAUAUCAAGUCUGUCUUAAAAGUGCGAGGCUCAACCUCGUGAGGGGACAGAAACUGGUAUUCUUGAGUGUCGGAGAGGGAAGUGGAAUUCCAAGUGUAGCGGUGAAAUGCGUAGAGAUUUGGAAGAACACCAGUGGCGAAGGCGACUUUCUGGACGAUGUCUGACGCUGAGGCGCGAAAGCUAGGGGAGCGAACGGGAUUAGAAACCCCUGUAGUCC